GCGUAUUUCUAUUAUGUCUGGUCAUGAGAAGCGUGUCGCUAGCCCAUAGUUGUUGUUUAAUUUCUUCAAUUUGUUGAUGACGCCGAUGACGAUGAUGUCGUGAACUUACUCCAGAAGUUACUCAAUUGUGCUGAUACACGAAAGGAUGCCAUCAAACCAGAGCCAUCAGAUGGGCUUCUCAAAUGUACUAAGUGUCAGAAUAUUGUUGGGAGCAACCGUGGCAACAAAUACUGCGUAUCUGAAAUGCCAGACCAAGUUGAAACAUGUGCCGAAGGUGUUACACAGUGUUACACUCGAGUGAGGAACUACGUGGACCUAGAAGCAACGCGUAUUUAUUCGAUGGAGGUCAUCCGUGGUUGCCAACCAGACGGAGUCGUGUGCGAUGAGGCCAUCGCCAUAAAAGGCCGUUAUGAGAGAUACACACAGUGUUGUCAUGGUAACGAGUGCAACGUGGGCGACGUCGUUCCAUUUCCUGAAGAAUAGGCCAUCUUGUCAAUCAUUUUCGACUUUUGCUUGACACGACUCCGUAGAUAUGAAUAAAGAGAAUUCCUUAUUGUAGAGGAGGAAAAUGAUCAACAUUUAUAUGAGAUGCUAGUCCUCUU
rnacentral:misc_RNA from 1 species